rnacentral:lncRNA from 1 species
AUUUAAGCUAUCAUCUUUUUUCAAAACACCUUGUGCGUGCCUCCUGGCAGUUGGUGAACUUUCUGAUGUAUUCAACAGCAUUGAUCUCCACUUUGUCUCUGCAUGUUCUCCUUUUAUUUUAAUUUUUACCAUUUUUUUUCCCACAUGAAAGGUCUUGCAGUCACUUAGAAAUGCUGAGAUAAAUUGACUGGUAUAAAGUAAGGUAUCUGAUUAAUGAAAUUUACUCUAAAACUAAUUGGCCUUUUCAUGGACUAUAAGACUAUGCACAACCACUUCGUACUCAAACAUGCAAUUCUCUUUCCAAUGUUGUAUGACCCAGUACCCAGCUCUUCAAAGCACAUUUUUUUUUCUUGGUAGAUCUCAGGUCUUCCUUCUGUUGCUGAUGGCCUAGACAACUAUAGGGCCAUCUGAAAGUCCUUGCAGUAUUUGGUUGUCAUGAAGCAAUGGCUGUGUGUUGUGCUGCUGGUGGUGCCCUGGGCUGGAGGAUUUUUGCACACAGUAAUUCAACUUGGCCUUAUUCAUGGGCUCCCAUCUUAUGACCCCAAUGUCAUUGGUCGUUUUGUCUGUGACAUGGACCCCUUAAUGAAGCUUGUCUGUGACUAUACACUCAACAGAUUUGUCUAUUUUGCAGGUCAUGACUUAAAUACUAGGUUUUAUAUAUUUCGUUUAUAUUCAGACUGGACUGUUUCCUUUUGGUGAUUUGACUUUGGUAUCCUUUUGUAAUUUUUUCCCUAGAGGACAUGAUUCUAUAAAUCUUGUUAUACAUAGUUAUUAUCCCUGUGGCAUCUCCGGAGAUACAGAGCCUACCCUCAGAAUUAUGAUAAAGGUCCCAAUGAAUUUAAUUAGAGAAGAAUCACCUUUGGAGAUGCAC